rnacentral:rRNA from 1 species
AACAGGAUUAGAUACCCUGGUAGUCCACGCUGUAAACGGUGGGUACUAGGUGUGGGGUCCAUUCCACGGGUUCCGUGCCGUAGCUAACGCUUUAAGUACCCCGCCUGGGGAGUACGGCCGCAAGGCUAAAACUCAAAGGAAUUGACGGGGCCCCGCACAAGCGGCGGAGCAUGCGGAUUGAUUCGAUGCAACGCGUAAAACCUUACCUGGGUUUGACAUGGAUCGGGAGCGCUCAGAGAUGGGUGUGCCUCUUUUGGGGUCGGUUCACAGGUGGUGCAUGGCUGUCGUCAGCUCGUGUCGUGAGAUGUUGGGUUAAGUCCCGCAACGAGCGCAACCCUUGUUCACUGUUGCCAGCACGUUAUGGUGGGGACUCAGUGGAGACCGCCGGGGUCAACUCGGAGGAAGGUGGGGAUGACGUCAAGUCAUCAUGCCCCUUAUGUCCAGGGCUUCACGCAUGCUACAAUGGCUGGUACAGAGAGUGGCGAGCCUGUGAGGGUGAGCGAAUCUCGGAAAGCCGGUCUCAGUUCGGAUUGGGGUCUGCAACUCGACCUCAUGAAGUCGGAGUCGCUAGUAAUCGCAGAUCAGCAACGCUGCGGUGAAUACGUUCCCGGGGCUUGUACACACCGCCCGUCAAGUCAUGAAAGUUGGUAACACCCGAAGCCGGUGGCCUAACCGUUGUGGGGGAGCCGUCGAAGGUGGGACUGGUGAUUAGGACUAAGUCGUAACAAGGUAACC